AGGGGCUGUUGCUGAGCUGUGCUGAAUCACAGGGGCUGGAGAACCCGUUGGCUCUGAGCUUUCCUUGGGGCUUUCUGCCAGGAAGGAGGGCAAAGAGCAGAGAGCAAUUGGUUAGAAAACAGAAUGGGGAAAGAGGCAGGACUACCUUUUGCCAUAAUUCUAAAGGAGCCCAAAAGGGAAAUGAAACCCAUCUUUUUUUUGGGGAAAACUUCCCAGAAUCCUGGCUUCUAAGUCAUAAAUGGGCUAGGAAAUGGGAAGUUGUAAGAAGGGAAGAACUAGGCCAAAAUUAACCUAUCUAUUCCAAUAAAAUGAAUCUCCAACAUGUUAAUUACACUGUCUGGUUUCUAGGUCUUUGCAUAGUUCAUUACCAACUCUUAUUAUUAUUCAUUACUUCUAUUCUUUCUUGUUUUUAAGAGAUAGGGUCUCAAGUGAUCCUCCUGCCUUGGCCUCUCAAAGUGCUGGGAUUAUAGGCAUGAGCCACUGCGCCUGGCCUUCAUUUCUUUAAAGAUGAUUUAAAAUAGAUCUCUUUUUAGCCAUCCUCUUUGAUUAAUUCUCACAGGAACUGAAUUAUUCCAUUAUUUUAUUUAUUUAUUUUUUUUCCUAAGACUGAGUCUUGCUCUGUUGCCCAGGCUGGAGUGCAGUGGUGCAAUCUCAGCUCAUUGCAACCUCUGCCAUCCAGGUUCAAGUGAUUCUCGUGCCUCAGCCUUCCGAGUAGCUGGGACUACAGGUGCACACUGCCACACCUGGCUAAUUUUUGAAUUUUUAGUAGAGAUGGGGUUUUGCCACGUUAGCUAGGCUGGUCUCAAACUCCUGACCUCAAGUGAUUGGCCUGCCUUGGCCUCCCAAAGUGCUGGGAUUAUAGGCGUGAGCCACUGUGGCAGGCCUAUUCCAUUAUUUUUAAUGUUCCUUUACCAUGUAGUUGUACCACAGGUAAGUCUGAUAGAUAUCAAGCUAUAAUUAAAUGAUAUUAUGAAUGGCCAGUCCCUGGCCCGGGUUCAGUUAACAUGUAAAACUACAAAGAAAUCUUAAGACCCUCCUGACUAAAAAUUAGCUAGGCAUUAAUGAUUAUAAAACAUUAUAAGUUAUGCCACUCCACCUAAAGUGACACUAACAUUUUACUACUAAACACAACUACCUGAGCUACAUACAAUGGUAACUCCAUGUUGCUCAUUAGUCAAAUGUUUUUAAAAUUUUUUUAGAGGGUCUCACUCUGUCACCCAGGCUGGAGGUGCCAUGGCACAAUCACAGCUCACAGCAGCCUUCAACUGCUGGCCUCAAGCCAUCCUCCUGCUUCAGACUCCCAAAU
rnacentral:lncRNA from 10 species